CUGCAGAAUACAAUCAACCUCUCUAUACGGCUUUUAUAAAUUAUGAAAAGACAUUUUAUUCACUAGAGACACCAGCAGUCGUAGAGACAUUGUGUAAUAAAGGAGUACAGAAGGCAUAGGUCAAUAUUUUGG
rnacentral:lncRNA from 1 species